rnacentral:rRNA from 1 species
AGAGUUUGAUCCUGGCUCAGGAUGAACGCUAGCGGCAGGCUAAUACAUGCAAGUCGAACGGUGUAGUAAUACACAGUGGCGCACGGGUGCGUAACACGUAGGUAACCUACCUUUUACUGGGGCAUAACGAUGGGAAACCAUCGCUAAUUCCGCAUGAGACAGUAGCUUGGCAUCAAGCAGUUGUUAAAGAUUGAUUGGUAAAAGAUGGGCCUGCGGCUGAUUAGCUAGUUGGCGGUGUAACGGACCACCAAGGCAAUGAUCAGUAGGGGUUCUGAGAGGAAGAUCCCCCACACUGGCACUGAGAUACGGGCCAGACUCCUACGGGAGGCAGCAGUAGGGAAUAUUGGGCAAUGGCGGAAACGCUGACCCAGCCAUGCCGCGUGCAGGAAGAAGGCGCUCAGCGUUGUAAACUGCUUUUGCCGGGGAAGAAUGGAAGCUACGUGUAGCUUACUCGACGGUACCUGGUGAAUAAGCACCGGCUAACUCCGUGCCAGCAGCCGCGGUAAUACGGAGGGUGCAAGCGUUGUCCGGAUUUAUUGGGUUUAAAGGGUGCGUAGGUGGCUUUUUAAGUCCGGGGUGAAAGGCAGUGGCUCAACCACUUGCAGGGCCCUGGAUACUGGGAGGCUCGAGUGCGCGUGAGGCCGGUGGAACGGGUGGUGUAGCGGUGAAAUGCAUAGAUACCAUCCAGAACACCGAUUGCGGAGGCAGCCNNCUAACGCGCAACUGACACUGAGGCACGAAAGCGUGGGGAGCAAACAGGAUUAGAUACCCUAGUAGUCC